UGGGGAAUAUUGCACAAUGGCCGAAACCCUGAGCCAGCCAUGCCGCGUGUGUGAAGAAGGUCUUCGGAUUGUAAAGCACUUUAAGUUGGGAGGAAGGGCAUUAACCUAAUACGUUAGUGUUUUGACGUUACCGACAGAAUAAGCACCGGCUAACUCUGUGCCAGCAGCCGCGGUAAUACAGAGGGUGCAAGCGUUAAUCGGAAUUACUGGGCGUAAAGCGCGCGUAGGUGGUUUGUUAAGUUGGAUGUGAAAUCCCCGGGCUCAACCUGGGAACUGCAUUCAAAACUGACUGACUAGAGUAUGGUAGAGGGUGGUGGAAUUUCCUGUGUAGCGGUGAAAUGCGUAGAUAUAGGAAGGAACACCAGUGGCGAAGGCGACCACCUGGACUAAUACUGACACUGAGGUGCGAAAGCGUGGGGAGCAAACA
rnacentral:rRNA from 1 species